UAUUCGAAUCUUGUUGAUCAUGCUAUAGUCCAGCCAUAGCCAUUGUUUCUGGUUUCUGGUUUUUGUUGAUCCCGCAGUAGUCCAGCCAUUAUUUUACAAUCUCUCAAUGGAGAGGGGAAACUGGAGCCAUUGUUAAUCUCCUUCUGACCAAAGAUACAAGCAUGCUAUAUACUUCUUAACUCGCAGAGGCAUUGUUCCAGACUUGACGGUGAGCUGAAAUGAUCAAUAAGGUAUGCCUCAUGAAUCCAGACUUCUUCAUUUUGAGGAUUUAGCUAUUGUGCUAUGUGAGUUUGAAUAGUUUUUUCCUCUGUUAAACAAGCCAUCACUUGCUAACUUGCACAAUAUUCUCCCAUAAUUUUCUCAGCUAUCCCUUUCUGGAAUUGGGGCUUCUAUUUCCAUGAGUAUGAUGAAUCACCUGGGUCCUUGGUUCAAUUCUACCCAUGAACAAUCUAAUUCUAGCGCCUUAUAACUUUACAUGGCUUUUGUACUUAAAUCACCAUUCAGUAAUUCAAGUCUGUUGGGUAAGGUGGAGUGGGACCUUGGGCUAAUCAUCAGACUGUAUCCACCGAGGGCCAAAUUUAAUAGAUAGAUUGCCAUUCUACAUUUUCUAGCCUUGUCAGGGGUUUCUCCUUUUCUAUCAUAUCGAGUCUUGAUCUUUCAAAUUGCACUUGAUGAUGUUGAUGAAUUAUGCUAUAGUCCAUUCUUUGUAUUUUUUUCGGCUUGUUCAUUCUUAUACACUCAAUUAUGAUCAAUAAGAUUGAAGAUCCGGAUGAGCAUCUUCGAUUGGCACC